UACGGAGGGAGCUAGCGUUAUUCGGAAUUACUGGGCGUAAAGCGCACGUAGGCGGCUUUGUAAGUUAGAGGUGAAAGCCUGGAGCUCAACUCCAGAAUUGCCUUUGAUACUGCAUGGCUUGAAUCCAGGAGAGGUGAGUGGAAUUCCGAGUGUAGAGGUGAAAUUCGUAGAUAUUCGGAAGAACACCAGUGGCGAAGGGCGGCUCACUGGAGCUGGUAUUGA
rnacentral:rRNA from 1 species